GCCCGGAUGGCGAAAUCGGUAGACGCAAGGGACUUAAAAUCCCUCGGGGGUAACCCCGUGCCGGUUCGACCCCGGCUCCGGGCA
rnacentral:tRNA from 6 species